CCUACGGGUGGCAGCAGUAGGGAAUUUUCGGCAAUGGGGGGAACCCUUACCGAUCAACGCCGGGUUACCGAGGAAGUUAUUCGUAAUGUACAGUUCUUUUAACAGGGAAGAAAGAGAAAUUUGACGGUACCUGAAGAAUAAGCUCCGGCUAACUACGUGCCAGCAGCCGCGGUAAUACGUAGGGAGCGCGCGUUAUGGUGAAUUAUUGGCCUUAAAGGGUGCUUAGAUGGCAUAGUAAGUCUUUUGUAAAAAUGAUGGGCUCAACCCAGUAGGGCAAAAGAUACUGCAAAGCUAGAGUAUGACAGAGGCAAGUGGAACUACAUGUGUAGCGGUAAAAUGCGUAAAUAUAUGUAAGAACACCAGUGGCGAAGGCGGCUUGCUGGGUCGAUACUGACAUUGAGGCACGAAAGCGUGGGGAGCAAACAGGAUUAGAUACCCGAGUAGUC
rnacentral:rRNA from 1 species